rnacentral:rRNA from 2 species
UACGAAGGGAGCUAGCGUUGUUCGGAAUCACUGGGCGUAAAGCGCACGUAGGCGGAUGUGUCAGUCAGGGGUGAAAUCCCGGAGCUCAACUUCGGAACUGCCCUUGAUACAGCACGUCUUGAGUCCGAGAGAGGUGGAUGGAAUUCCUAGUGUAGAGGUGAAAUUCGUAGAUAUUAGGAAGAACACCGGUGGCGAAGGCGGUCCACUGGCUCGGUACUGACGCUGAGGUGCGAAAGCGUGGGGAGCAAACAGG